GAAUUAGAUACUCCGGUAGUCCACGCCCUAAACGAUGUGCACUCGGUGUAGGGGGUAUCGACCCCCCCUGCGCCCCAGCUAACGCGGUAAGUGCACCGCCUGGGGACUACGGCCGCAAGGCUAAAACUCAAAGGAAUUGACGGGGACCCGCACAAGCAGCGGAGCGUGUGGAUUAAUUCGAUGCAACGCGAAGAACCUUACCCAGGCUUGACAUGCUACUGGUAGGGACCCGAAAGGGAACCGACCCGCAAGGGAGGUAGCACCGGUGCUGCAUGGCUGUCGUCAGCUCGUGCCGUGAGGUGUUGGGUUAAGUCCCGCAACGAGCGCAACCCCCGUCCCUAGUUGAUGUUUCUAGGGAGACUGCCGGGUGAACCCCGGAGGAAGGUGGGGAUGACGUCAAGUCCGCAUGGCCCUUACGUCUGGGGCUUCACACACGCUACAAUCGCCGGGACAGCGGGACGCGACUGCGCGAGCAGGAGCCAAUCCCCCAAAGCCGGCGCCAGUCCGGAUUGGAGGCUGCAACUCGCCUCCAUGAAGUCGGAGUUGCUAGUAACCGCGCGUCAGCAUAGUGCGGUGAAUGCGUUCCCGGGCCUUGUACACACCGCCCGUCACACCACGAAAGUUGGCAAGACUCGAAUGCGGUGGGCCAACCUGCGCAAGCAGGAGGCAGCCGUCGAGAGUCGGGUCGAUGAUUGGGGUGAAGUCGUAACAAGGUAGCCGUACGGGAACGUGCGGCUGGAUCACCUCCUUUCUA
rnacentral:rRNA from 1 species